UACGACCACAUCACGUUCAAACACCUGUACCCGUAGGAUCACCGACGUUAAGCAACAUUGAACUUGGUCAGUAUCUAGAUGGGCGACAGUUUGAGAAUACAAGGUGCUGCAAG